rnacentral:rRNA from 1 species
UGAGUGCGAGCUGCUACGGCAGCGAAGUUGGUGACGUCAAGCUUCCAAGAAAAGCCCUAUACCCGUUAAGGCAUCAUGGCCUGUACCCGAAACCGACACAGGUGGGGUGGUAGAGAAUACCGAGGGGCGCGAGGUAACUCUCUCUAAGGAACUCGGCAAAAUGGCCCCGUAACUUCGGGAGAAGGGGUGCCACCGCAAGGUGGUCGCAGUGAAGAGGCCCAGGCGACUGUUUACCAAAAACACAGGUCUCCGCUAAGUCGCAAGACGAUGUAUGGGGGCUGACGCCUGCCCAGUGCCGGAAGGUUAAGGAAGCUGGUCAGCGCAAGCGAAGCUGGCGACUGAAGCCCCGGUGAACGGCGGCCGUAACGAUAACGGUCCUAAGGUAGCGAAAUUCCUUGUCGGGUAAGUUCCGACCCGCACGAAAGGCGUAACGAUCUGGGCGCUGUCUCGGAGAGAGGCUCGGCGAAAUAGAAUUGUCUGUGAAGAUGCGGACUACGUGCACCCGGACAGAAAGACCCUAUGAAGCUUUACUGUAGCUUGGUAUUGUGCCCGGGCUCGCAAUGCGCAGGAUAGGUGGGAGGCUUUGAUCAUCGGCUUGCGGGUCGAUGUGAGCCAACGGUGAGAUACCACUCUUUGCGAGCUAGGGUUCUAACGGCCACCCGUCAUCCGGGGGCCGGACAGUAUCAGGUGGGCAGUUUGACUGGGGCGGUCGCCUCCUAAAAGGUAACGGAGGCGCGCAAAGGUUUGCUCAGGCUGGUUGGAAAUCAGCCGACGAGUGUAAAAGCAGAAGCAAGCUUGACUGUGAGACCUACAAGUCGAACAGGGAGGAAACUCGGCUUUAGUGAUCCGACGGUUCUGCGUGGAAGGGCCGUCGCUCGACGGAUAAAAGUUACUCUAGGAUAACAGGCUGAUCUCCCCCAAGAGUUCACAUCGACGGGGAGGUUUGGCACCUCGAUGUCGGCUCAUCGCAACCUGGGGCUGAAGUCGGUCCCAAGUGUUGGGCUGUUCGCCCAUUAAAGCGGUACGCGAGCUGGGUUCAGAACGUCGUGAGACAGUUCGGUCCAUAUCCGGUGCAUGCGCAGGAAUAUUGAGAGGAGUUCUCCCUAGUACGAGAGGACCGGGAGGAACGCACCUCUGGUGUACCAGUUAUCGUGCCAACGGUAAACGCUGGGUAGCCAUGUGCGGAGAGGAUAACCGCUGAAAGCAUCUAAGUGGGAAGCCCACCUCAAGAUGAGUAUUCCCAUGGCGUUAGCCAGUAAGGUCACGGGAAGAACACCCGUUGAUAGGCUCUAUGUGGAAGCGCAGUAAUGCGUGAAGCAGAGGAGUACUAAUAGACC